UCUUCUUCCUCUUCUUCUUUGUCUCACUGUCGGUGGACUCGUUUCUUUUGUCUCUCUGUAGCCUUUCUAACAGUCACGGCAAUUGCUGUGUCGCUUUCCUUUCUUGUAAGCUAAUUUCUCUAUUAUAUCACUGUACAUUCAUUUACAGCUAUACUACACCUAUCUCUCUUUAUAUACAUAUACCACACACAAACACAGAGAAAGAGAGAGGGGUAGUUGUUUAGCCUGCAUUGCUUUGCUUAUCUGGGUUGGAGUUCAAUCGGAUCACUUCUCUCUUUAUCAUCGAUCUCUGAUUCCACCGCUAUUGCUUUCAAAGCGUAAAGGGGGAAUCUUUUUUGUAACAUUGUGUGUUUAAGUUUAAGCAUGCAUAAAAAUUGUUGAGACUGAAGAUUAAACCGUCAUCUCUAUCCAUUGUUCACAUCUGGCAAAGAAGAGCAGGUGCCAAUGGAAUCUGAAGGUGAAACUGGGGCAAAACCGAUGAAGAAUGUGGGUGGACAGGUUUGCCAGAUCUGCAGUGAUAAUGUUGGCAAAACUGUGGAUGGUGAUCCAUUUGUUGCUUGCGAUGUUUGUGCAUUUCCAGUGUGCAGGCCUUGCUAUGAAUACGAGAGGAAGGAUGGGAGUCAGUCUUGCCCUCAAUGCAAGACCAGAUACAAGAGGCAGAAAGGUAGCCCUGCCAUUCUUGCUGAUAGAGACGAAGAUGGUGAUGCAGAUAAUGGCACCAGUGAUUUCAAUUACUCUUCAGAAACUCAAAACCACAAGCAGAAGAUUGCAGAACGCAUGUUGAGCUGGCAGAUGGCUUACGGACAAGGCGAGGAUGUUGAAGCUCCAAAUUAUGAUAAAGAGGUUUCUCAUAACCAUAUGCCUCUUCUCACCAAUGGACAUGAGGUUUCUGGAGAGCUGUCUGCUGCAUCACCCGAACAUAUUUCUAUGGCAUCUCCUGGAGUUGCUGGUGGGAAGAGCAUCCAUUCUCUUCCUUACACAGCUGAUGUCAAUCAAUCACGUAACUGUUCUUUCUCAUGGAAUAUGUUCUGUCUGUUUUUUUCUGGUCAUAUGUGAUAUUGGUUCUAGGUCUUGGUUGCAUUCAUUUUGCAGCUAAUGUGAGGGUGGAUCCUGUGAGGGAGUUUGGUUCUUCAGGAUUGGGCAAUGUGGCUUGGAAAGAGAGAGUUGAUGGCUGGAAGAUGAAGCAGGAGAAGAAUGUUGUUCCUAUGAGCACUGGCCAAGCUCCUUCUGAAAGGGGCAUUGGAGAUAUCGAUGCCAGCACUGAUGUGCUUGUGGAUGAGUCUUUAUUGAAUGAUGAAGCUCGACAACCUCUUUCCAGGAAGGUUUCUAUUCCUUCAUCUAGGAUUAAUCCAUACAGGAUGAUCAUUGUUUUGCGGCUGAUUAUCCUCUGCAUUUUCUUGCACUACCGAAUAACAAAUCCUGUGUCUAAUGCAUAUGCUUUGUGGUUACUAUCUGUGAUAUGUGAGAUAUGGUUUGCUAUCUCCUGGAUUUUGGAUCAGUUCCCUAAGUGGCUGCCUGUAAACCGUGAAACAUAUCUUGACAGGCUUGCUUUAAGAUAUGAUCGUGAAGGAGAACCAUCACAAUUAGCUGCUGUUGACAUUUUUGUCAGUACUGUGGACCCAUUAAAGGAGCCUCCCCUUGUGACUGCAAAUACUGUGCUCUCUAUUCUUGCUGUUGAUUACCCAGUUGACAAGGUCUCUUGUUAUGUCUCUGAUGAUGGUGCUGCUAUGUUGACAUUUGAAGCCUUAUCCGAGACUUCAGAGUUUGCAAGGAAAUGGGUACCUUUUUGCAAGAAAUAUCACAUUGAGCCAAGGGCUCCAGAAUGGUACUUUGCACAAAAGAUUGACUACUUGAAGGAUAAAGUGCAAACAUCAUUUGUAAAAGAUCGAAGAGCAAUGAAGAGAGAAUAUGAACAAUUCAAAGUUCGA
rnacentral:misc_RNA from 1 species